UACGUAGGGGCCUAGCGUUGUCCGGAAUUAUUGGGCGUAAAGAGCUCGUAGGCGGUCUGUCGCGUCUGCUGUGAAAACCUGGGGCUUAACCCCGGGCCUGCAGUGGGUACGGGCAGACUAGAGUGUGGUAGGGGAGACUGGAAUUCCUGGUGUAGCGGUGAAAUGCGCAGAUAUCAGGAGGAACACCGGUGGCGAAGGCGGGUCUCUGGGCCAUAACUGACGCUGAGGAGCGAAAGCGUGGGGAGCGAACAGG
rnacentral:rRNA from 1 species